UGUGUCAGAGAGAGGACAGAAGAGCUCACAUCAGUUCAGCUUCAACAUCAACAUGUUCUCUGCAGCUCUGAUACUGCUGCUGGCAGCUGGAUCCUGUGUGAACAGUAUUGAUCUCAUCCAGCCAGACUCAAUGGUUGUGCCGCCUGGACAGCCUUUGACCAUCACCUGUCAGGUCUCUGGUUAUUCUCUGACUGAUAGCAGCUAUGCAACAGGUUGGAUCAGACAGUGUGAAGGAAAACCAAUGGACUGGAUUUCACAUUUGUGGGGUGGAGGUAGCUUAACUCAAAACAAUGCUCUGAAGAACAAGUUCAGCAACAGCAGAGACACUUCUGCUGGAACAGUGACUCUAACAGGACAGAGUGUGCAGCCUGCAGACACAGCUGUGUAUUACUGUGUACGUCAGGUGGGUGCUUAUUUUGACUACUGGGGACAAGGAACUAGAGUCACAGUUUCUAAUGAAAUCGUUGCAUCUCCGACUCUGUUCCCUCUGGUUCAGUGCAACCCUGGCUCAGCAGAGACAAUCACGGUUGGUUGUCUUGCAAACGACUUCUCCCCAAAUAGUGUGACUUUUCAGUGGACUGACGCCAGUGGGACAAACCUGCCCGCUGUACAGUAUCCUCCAACAGUGAAAAACAACAAGUAUACAGGAGUCAGUGUUGUCAACGUACCAAAAUCUGAGUGGGAUUUAAGAAAGUCUUACAACUGUGCUGUGACUCACCCUGGAGGACAAAAAAGUUUGAGCAUUAAAAAGGUUAAAGCACCUUCAUGUCCAGAGACUAACGCUACCAUCACGAUGAAACUGAACAAAUCAAGUCCCAAAGAAAUGUUCAACAACAACCAGGCAAGGUUCGAUUGUGUCAUUAGUGGAGAUGACGAGACCACUGUCGAUCAAUUUCAAAUCACUUGGCAAGUCAAUGAAACAAUUCGGACCACCAGCGAGCAAGGAAGAUCGGGAGGAAUAAAAACCAGCACAAUGAGGCUCAGUCUCCAUGAGAGCCUCAGUAAUGUGCGCUGUUCUGCCUCUAAAGAUGAUGUGACAGUUUUUCAAGAUCUGCCUCCCCCCAAAAUAGAUGGAAAGGAGCCAAAAGUAACAGUCCACAUCGUCCCAGAGGAGGACAUCGAUGCAGACCCAUCCGACGAGGUCACUUUGGUGUGUCUGGUCUUCAGUAGUGAGAAGGAUUACUACAUUGCAUGGGCUGAACAUAUUGGACAAAACACCCCAAUCUACCAAGAUGGCAUCGACUUACCCCCUCAGAAGGCUAACAAUGGCUACUUUGUUACAAGUAUUUACACCACCAACAAGACAAAGUGGCAAAAUCACAUGUUCUCCUGCAACGUCUGGCCUGCUGGCGCCAAAAAGGCAAUGGCACCAAGAACCGUGUCUAACUCAAUGAAUAACUCCAUUGAAUAUUUAAUGUCAAAACUGAGUUCUGCUCUGAGCUGCACAGAUGAGGCCAUCGAUGAGGAGGAUGAGUACAGCAGCCUUUGGUCCACAACUUUGUCCUUCAUAUUCCUCUUCAUAUCCUCUCUCCUCUAUAGCAUGAUAUUCACCAUGGUCAAGAUGAAGUGGUGAGAUGGAUCCUAGACAACAAUGACAAGUGUUCAACUGUUUAGAUUUGUUUGUCUUAUUGUUGUUUUAAAGGCAUGUACAUAAUCUCUAUAUACUGUAUGUCUUCUACAUGAAAUGGUCAUCCUACAUAACGAUUGACACAUUUCUGGGAAAUUCAUUGCUAUAACUUUAGAAAAUACAAUUAGUUAGUUAUUGAAACACUUUCCACAAUGCAGAUGGAAAUAAACGUUAUGCUAUAAUCUGGCAUAUAGCAUAGCUUCUCUUUUUGAGAUUAAUGUAUUUUUAUGCAUGGUCCAUAUUCAAUAAAGAUAUAUAAAUAAUUGUACGUGA